GAUGAACGCUGGCGGCGUGCCUAAUACAUGCAAGUCGAGCGAACAGACGAGGAGCUUGCUCCUCUGACGUUAGCGGCGGACGGGUGAGUAACACGUGGAUAACCUACCUAUAAGACUGGGAUAACCUCGGGAAACCGGAGCUAAUACCGGAUAAUAUAUUGAAUCGCAUGGUUCAAUAGUGAAAGACGGUUUUGCUGUCACUUAUAGAUGGAUCCGCGCCGCAUUAGCUAGUUGGUAAGGUAACGGCUUACCAAGGCAACGAUGCGUAGCCGACCUGAGAGGGUGAUCGGCCACACUGGAACUGAGACACGGUCCAGACUCCUACGGGAGGCAGCAGUAGGGAAUCUUCCGCAAAGGGCGAAAGCCUGACGGAGCAACGCCGCGUGAGUGAUGAAGGUCUUCGGAUCGUAAAACUCUGUUAUUAGGGAAGAACAAAUGUGUAAGUAACUAUGCACGUCUUGACGGUACCUAAUCAGAAAGCCACGGCUAACUACGUG
rnacentral:rRNA from 1 species